rnacentral:misc_RNA from 1 species
CAAAUUUUACACUAAAUUUUUGUACCUGAUGGUAUCUCCUCAAGGACCAUAGAAUUGCUCUUAUAAUAUGAGCAAUUUUACGGUCCUUGAGGAGGUACCAUGAGGUACCACUUUUUCUAUUGUAGAUUUA